rnacentral:rRNA from 1 species
AAUAUUGGACAAUGGGGGCAACCAUGAUCAUGCCAUGCCGCGUGUGUGAUGAAGGUCUUCGGUUUGUAAAGCACUUUAAGUUGGGAGGAAGGGCUUUAGGUUAAUACUCUUAAGUUUUGACGGUACUAACAGAAUAAGCACCGGCUAACUCUGUGCCAGCAGCCGCGGUAAUACAGAGGGUGCAAGCGUUAAUCGGAAUUACUGGGCGUAAAGCGCGCGUAGGUGGUUAAGUAAGAUGGAUGUGAAAUCCCCGGGCUUAACCUGGGAACUGCUUUCAUAACUGGUGGGCUAGAGUACGGUAGAGGAUAGUAGAAUUUCAUGUGUAGCGGUGAAAUGCGUAGAUAUAGGAAGGAACACCAGUGGCGAAGGCGACUACCUGGACUAAUACUGACACUGAGGUGCGAAAGCAUGGGGAGCAAACA